rnacentral:rRNA from 1 species
AUUGAACGCUGGCGGCAGGCCUAACACAUGCAAGUCGAGCGAGCGGCGGACGGGUGUGGAAGUUAUGGGGACUGCACGAUAGAGGGGGAUCACUACUGGAAACGGUAGCUAAUACCGCCUACUAUCGGAAACCCCAUAUGGGAUUAGCUAGUAGGUGAGGUAAUGGCUCACCUAGGAGACGCUCCCUAGCUGGUCUGAGAGGAUGAUCAGCAACACUGGGACUGAGACACGGCCCAGACCCCUACGGAGGCAGCAGUGGGGAAUAUUGCACAAUGGGCGCAAGCCUGAUGCAGCCAUGCCGCGUGUAUGAAGAAGGCCCUAGGGUUGUAAAGUACUUUCAGUCGGGAGGCGUUACCGACAGAAGAAGCACCGGCUAACUCCGUGCCAGCGCCGCGGUAAUAC